AAAGUAUUUAUUGUACAUAUCACAGAAAUAUAGACAACUGACAUCUGUCUAUCUAGCAGUCUCACUUGUCUGUCUAUCUAACAGUCUCAUUUAUCUGUCUAUCUAGCAGUCUCAUUCUUCUGUCUAAAAUACAAAACGCAUACCAUCUAUAUAAUAUCAAUUGACAUUUACAAAUUUAAUCCAUUCAAUACUUCCAUCCAAUGUGUU